CCGGACUAAGGAUCAAGACCUGGUUUGUCUCAUGGAAUCCUCCCAAGGGAUCUAUGAGAUGCAUGCUGUGAUGAGAAACACCGAAGCACGAAUUAGAAGCAACGAUGGUUAUCAGCCUCGUGGAGGCGGAUGGGCUUCCUCCCAUCGCCAUGGAACACAUGGAAUGCCAGGGAAUGGUUGGCUGGGGAACUCUUCCACAGUGUCACAAACACUGGAAAAGAGAAUGCAGGAGACUGAUGAGCAAAAUCCUGAAGCAAGGCAAUCUGCUACCUCCCGCCUCUCAGAGAGGAUUGCCUGGUCUGGUUUGGAAAGUCCCCAGGCUGAGAGGAGGUGAACAGAACAGGACGUGAGGAGGCCAGGGCAGACUGGGAAAGAGAGGCUUGCAGUGCCCUCGCAGCCAUUCUAUUAGCAGAAGCUUCUCAUGAACCCCUGUCCGGCUUUCAUGUUGGUGAAAAGUCAUCAUUUCCCUCAUGGACUGGCAUAACACAUACAGAAAAGUAACAAAAAUUGGGAGGGGGCUCAGAAAAGAGGAGAGACAAUAGCUUGAAAACUGUAAGUUCGGUUCCUGAUUAUCCUGCUUUUGCCAGAUUAAGUAAAACAUUUCAAAUUAUCAACAGACAUUUUGAAAUUGCCCGUUCAGGCUUCUUACAGACAGGGCUGGUCCCCAGUCCAGUCAGUGGUGAGGUAUACAUGGAGCAAUAGCACAUAGGGACAAUGGCCAUUCAAUGGCCAUCAGGUACCAGAGCUUCUAAAUUGGCCAGUUUCCUGUGUCAGAAGGGCAGAAGAAGCACAGUCACAAAAAAAAUUUAAAAAUUAAGAAAAGACACCUAAUCUGGUCAAGGAAGGGACAGAACAGAGUGGCUACAUGCUUAUGGGUGUAUCUGUAAUUUCAGCAAUGUUUGUUCAGUCAAAAAGAUUGUUUCCAGUCUACCAGAAAACACUUCAAUAAGCUGAGAUUACAACCCCCAGAUCUUUCUUUCUUUCUUUUUUCCAGGUUAACGUGAAAUAAAGAGUUUUCCUUAGCAAUAGUUCCUUUGCUG
rnacentral:lncRNA from 1 species